AGUGAACGCUGGCGGUAGGCCUAACACAUGCAAGUCGAACGGCAGCACAGUAAGAGCUUGCUCUUACGGGUGGCGAGUGGCGGACGGGUGAGGAAUACAUCGGAAUCUACUUUUUCGUGGGGGAUAGCGUAGGGAAACUUACGCUAAUACCGCAUACGACCUACGGGUGAAAGCAGGGGAUCUUCGGACCUUUCGCGAUUGAAUGAGCCGAUGUCGGAUUAGCUAGUUGGCGGGGUAAAGGCCCACCAAGGCGACGAUCCGUAGCUGGUCUGAGAGGAUGAUCAGCCACACUGGAACUGAGACACGGUCCAGACUCCUACGGGAGGCAGCAGUGGGGAAUAUUGGACAAUGGGCGCAAGCCUGAUCCAGCCAUACCGCGUGGGUGAAGAAGGCCUUCGGGUUGUAAAGCCCUUUUGUUGGGAAAGAAAAGCAGCAGGUUAAUACCCCGCUGUUCUGACGGUACCAAAAGAAUAAGCACCGGCUAACUUCGUG
rnacentral:rRNA from 1 species